rnacentral:lncRNA from 1 species
UGAAGAUCCAUGCCUUGAAUGUCCUCCAUUUUCAUAUCUUUCUGAUCCAAAUGUUUUGGUCGAGGUCUCAGUUAGUUGUGCUAUCAAUGUAUUCCAGAAACAUAGUUUUGUUAACGAUCUGGGGUUAGGAAGUUUGAUGGAGAUGGCAAUGAACGUGAACAAUGUUAAAGUUUUGAGCAUUUAAAUUAUGAACCUCUGCUCGUUUAUCUUGUUGCACUUGAUUGUCAUUUCUAAUUGUUCAACAUCUCUGCCUAGUCACUGCAAUUCCCUAUUGCAUAUCGAAUCGUUUGCCUGUUAUGUCAUAUGUUUGUGCUCUUCUCUCUAGUAAGUGUUUUGAUGUUUAACUUACAAUCCGAUCAACAUGAUGUAAUAUCUCUAGCUAAUUGCUUUGAUUAAUAUAAGACAUGCCCACCAAAAUUGUAUGGGAUAAUGGAGAUGUUGCAGCAGCACCACAGCUGUCUACAACUCGUUGCAAUUGCAACAUGAUUGUUAGCCCCUUGCAUCCUUGCUGUGUGGGCAAUGCUGGAGUGGGAGGGGCUGCAGCAACAGAGGCGGUCAGUGAUAGUCAGGGACAGCGUGGACGAUGUGUGGUUGCCCUGGGAGGUCGCCGACGACUGCCGAGAUGGAGAGGAGGGCCGGGACGUGGGGUUUUGACUAAUGUGACACUGGAAAGGAAGAGGGUGGCGACGGUGCGAUGAGAGUGAGGCAUGUCGGCUGAGUGCUUCUUGUUGGCAGUGGCGACGGUGCGUUUGGUGCCGUGUGCAUGCACGAGGGCUGUUUGGUGCGUGUGCAUGCACGAGGGCUGUCGGCGGCUGAUCGGGCUGAGGCCGGAGGUAGAAGACCCGAAGGAUAUCUUGAUCUGCAACAAACCCCCCAUUUCGCUCAUGCCUUGCAACAAGGGCGGCGUUGCAAACCAAUGUAUGGGGUUGCUACGUGGCGCAUGAUCAAAAUUUGACCGGAUGGUCAUGGAGGCGAUUGACGCGAGCCGGGUGAGGCCAGCCGUUUCUGAAACUAAAUUCAUAUUUUAUAUGCUAUCAAAAUUAUAUGUUUAUGAACUUUAUUUGAAUGUAAAUUUAGUGAUAUGCUCUAGAUGUACAAUGCAUUUCACCCCAUAAACCUGAUUGGAGAGUAUGAUAAACUUAACUGGAUGAGUACUUUUUUCAUUUGUAAACAGGGGAGUACAUUGACAAGAAAGAGGUGGGUGUCUAUUAUAUUUAUCGAAGAAAGCAAUAUUUAGUAUGAAAGGAUAACUAAAUACAAAAUGACUUGUAAAAGGCAAAAGUACACCGAAAACAAUAUUGAACAAGCAUUAAGGUUGUCCCGACAAGAUUUAGUAACCCUGCAUGACAAAUCUUAGAAAUCUGGCAAUGAAUACCCCUACUGGCCCUUCGUGGGUGACUGGGUGUGGAUCGGACGUCGUCAAGAUAUGGAGUUGGCCCUUCGUCGGCACAGAUCGGCCAGGGGAUCUAAGUCAAAAUAAGGACCUCGGGCAGGAAAGAGGAAGAAGGCCGUUUCUACAUCAUCAGGGAGUGACCGUGUUGGUUGUUUCUGUUUAGCGCAAUGUGGGGCUUAUCUCAGCCAGCCUUGCGUUUUGUUUGCGUUCAGCUGAUGGUAAAUUCAUUGUCGAGAGACAUGAAUGAACUUAGAAUGGGAGGUCAAACAGUGAACCAUGGGGAUGAAAUUACUGAUACAACUCAGAACUAUAACUGAAAUUUCAUUCUGGUCCUCACAAUAUAGAGGGCAAGCUUAACCGCCGAGAAACCUAGCUCUAGCCAAUGAAACAUAAUUGUACAACACUAUCUAUGUUCUUCACAAAUGACAGGAAAUUGCCAGACCCUGUGGUGCUCUCGUGCCCUGGUAGUACAGUUAGGAGUGUUGCUUAAAUCUAAGCAGCCCCUAUUUGCCCUUAUAAUAUUGGCGAUUCAUGUCUCAUGCGCCAAUGUUCUCGAUGCUGGCACCUUUGUUGAUCCGUUUAAUGAUUCCUGCUAUAACCUGGUUUAUGCCAGACGAGCAAAAAUAAAUAAAAAACUAAAGACCAUCACAGACUCUGAAGAAUUGUUAUCCAGUCAGAAAUUAUUAUGAACCUAUCUUUACCUUUCCAGGUCCGAGUUCAUAGCUCUUCUCAAGGCCUCUACCCAAAAGAGUUGUCACAGUAGUCUCCCAUUGCACAGGAGAGGUUACCUGUUUCUCCACUCAGUUAGUCACACACAAGUCAUUGUAUAAUAGGUGCGACACAAAUUCAAGUAUAGUCUAGAUCCAAUACCUGUUGUGCCAAAAUCUUCUUGAUUGUCUCAGGAUCGGAGUGGGGCUGUGCAUCAACAUUGGAGAUUACUGGGAUUCUCGGUGAUCUAAUCUCUGUAGCAGCCAAUGCAGACUCCAAUCUCGAGACAGCGGGUUGCAUGAAGCUUGUGUGGAAAGCACCAGCAACAGCUAGGCGAACCUGGCAAGACAAUUGUCAACAUCAUAUACAAACCUUUGAUUAUAUGCUAUGCAACAGAGGAAACGGUUUUCAACAAUGCCUCUUAGAUUGACAGCAACAAGGCAGUCACUUUUCCUAAUCCCCCACGACAAGUCACAGGAUCAAGUUACAUAUUAGUAUACAGUUACCCCCUCUGUAAACAGUAUACACCAUGUUAGAAUGCAUGUAGUGAAUUUUUCUUAGCCUUCACCACCAAUACAAACAAAAGCUUUAUAAAUUGAUCACAGGAAAAUGGUACGACCAUCAGACAUUUCACCAAUUGUACUCUUGCAAUAUUAUUCUAUUAUCAGUACUAUGGUCUGUUGUCUGACAUAUUCCCACCAAAAUUUAUAGUCAAAGUUGCGUAACAACGAAGAUGUACAAAAUGGUUUAUGUUUUUGACCAAGGGAGCACUAUUCAGUAUAAUGACCUUGCGCAGUUUCAGUUUUCAAAACCACUAUAAAUUACGAUAACCAGGUUUCACACUUUAUUGUAGGUAUAUACCAAAUGUUUACAUACAUGGACCAUUGUCGAGAAAUUGGAUGCAUGGGAACACUAACCGUCAUUCUGGCCUUAAAAGACUUUGCUUUGGCUUCAACUGCUUCAAUACCCUUCACACCACCAGAAACUGCAUAGUUACCCUGCAACAAGGUAUUACCAUGCUAAGACCUUAGCAAGCCUCAGUAGGAAACAAAUAACCUCAGAGUCAGGAAUGACUUACAGGACAGAGAAAAUUUGCUAUUUGAACUCUUUCCUUUUCAUCCACAUCCUCAUUUGCAGCAUCGCAUAAUUGUUGCACCUUUUCUGAAUCUAGACCAAUGACACUAACCAUCGCACUAUUGGCAGCGUCUGAGGCAUCCUACAAAGAUAAAGACCAUGAGCAAUCUAUUUGGAAAGUCAGAAACUCAAAGCACACAUAUCUUAUUGGCACUAACCUGCAUGGCUUCUCCUCUAAGCUUGACAAGCUUCAGACCAUCCUCAAAGCUGCAUGUUGAAAACUGCUUAAGCAUACAUACUUGACACACUGAAAAAACUAAGCUAUGGGGCUAUUAAUUUGACCAUCUUGUCACAGGUAUAGCAGAUUGAAGAUGAUGUUCACCAGGAUUGAAUUUAACAUAUACUCUGAGUUAGCUUCAUUCUGAUCAUGAAUUUAAAUGCUUAUAUUUAAAACAGCAAAUGCAUGAUUUCACUAAUGGAACAAGGGCAAUACCUAAAGGCACCAGCAAAUGCAAGCGCGGUAUAUUCUCCCAAGCUGAGACCACAUGUGACAUCUACGGAGUUAAUUACAGAUUGGCCUUCUUCACGUGCGCGCAACACUUCUACAGCUGCAAGGCUGGUAACAUAUAUAGCUGGCUGCAAAAUGGUUUUGUUCGACAAUCAGUAUACAGCUCUAACUGGCAAGAUCAGGAACUGUAUCUGAACCAAAUCAUCCUUCACAAUCAAAUGUAUGCAGCAUAGCUGAGAAAAAUAAAAUGCAAUACAAUCUUGUGGGUUCCCUUUUGAAGCAACAUGGCAGGCUACAAAGCAUGGAUGUUGGUACAAAAAAUACUUAGCUAGCACUGUAACUGACUAACCAGAUUUAGCACUUAAUAGGUAUUCAUGGCUGAAAACUAUAUUGCCCUGAAUGACUAUUAAGGAGAUAUGUUUCAGUUGCUAACAGUAAGCAGCAGCGAAGGGUAGACACCUAAGGAUACUACUUGCACGGAUAUGAAAACGAAUAAUGUAAAAUACAGUGGGAGCGAAGAGUGAAAUUCAGAAACCUGACUGAUCACUGUUGAGUUCAGCUUUUCUUUUGGUCCAUCGAUGCAAAGAUUCAGCAAGUCAUAGCUACAUUGAAAAUUAAACAAGCAUGAGCAUCGCCGUUUUUCCCUUUGGAAUUGUUAUGGACACUUGUUAACUUUAAAGCGUAAGUUUGCUAGGGGGAGCAAACAGGUAAAUCGUAUCGGAGGUUUGUAGAUACCCAAGUAUAUCAUUUGCCUUAUCAAAUAGUUCUGCAGCUGCUCGAACAUUAAGAGCUUCUUUACCCAUUCCAACAGCCUGAGCACCCUGAGAGAAAAAGAAAGCAUAAACACACAUAAAUGAGGCAGCACACACGAUGCACAUGUAAAUGUAUCAUUGUAAUUAAAAUAAUCUCCUAGGAGAACCUAAUAAUCACAAGCUAAUCUCUCAAGGCCANNNNNNNNNNNNNNNNNNNNNNNNNNNNNNNNNNNNNNNNNNNNNNNNNNNNNNNNNNNNNNNNNNNNNNNNNNNNNNNNNNNNNNNNNNNNNNNNNNNNNNNNNNNNNNNNNNNNNNNNNNNNNNNNNNNNNNNNNNNNNNNNNNNNNNNNNNNNNNNNNNNNNNNNNNNNNNNNNNNNNNNNNNNNNNNNNNNNNNNNNNNNNNUACAACUAACCAAGUUAAAAUGAACACUUCCCAUUGCCUGAUAUCCCUUCAGAUUUGCCAUCUUUGCUAGAUAUUUUACUCAGCUUGAUAGGAGUACCAAUUAUUUCAAAAUUUAAACACCUUCGCACGAAUAAUUGCAUAACGAUCACCAUUACCACAACUUAGCUAAGUAUAAUUCUGGUUGCCAUAACGUCAUGCGUGUAUCAGACACGUCAGCUAACGAGCGAGAAGACUGGUACCUGGCCGGGGAAAAGGAAUGCGGUGGUGGGUUUGUAGUCGGCGAAGAGCGUGUCGGCGCCCGCUGCGACUGCCGACCCGACGGACACUCUAGUGGAGACCCGAGAUCUGAAUGGCGCCCUCAGGUUCGUCGCCGGGCUCGGCGCGGACGGCCUGAGCAAGGCGAGCGUGGAAGCCAUCGGAGAGUCCGAGCGGAGGCGGCGAGGAGAGAGGCGUGGGAGGCGAGGAGGGCGGAGGAGCAUGCGAGUGCGGCCGCGAGCUAUGUAGCUUGGUGGGUGGCUUGCUGGCGAGUAGCGGGGCGGAGGGGGGCGGAGGCGGAGCUCACGAGGUCGAGCGAUACGCCAGAGGCCGCCCGUGUGGGCCUCGAGCUUGCGUUAGCUGGGCUUGGCUGACUACUGUGGGCUCGUUUCAGCUUUCUCCCGCCGUAGAUCAGCCUUCUGAAAAAGAGGCAGGUUCAACUGAUCUCAAUCAUCAAACUAAGUCAAUUCAACGACUUAAUCUGCUCGAAUAGCGAGUGUUCAACGUGUUUAACAUGUAAUUGAUAUCAUACCAAAUAUUACAUUAAUAACAAAAUUAACACACAAAUAAUAACAUACCUAAUAUCUACGUGUAAUUAAUAUAUUGCCUAAAUAUUAACAUACAUUGCACGUGCACAUUUACUAGUAAAGGUGUAAAUUUAGCCAUCUUUGCACGGGCUCAUCUAUUCAUUCAUUACUACUGCCAAAUUUAGCCAUCUUUGUCGGUUCAUGAUGGACAUAAUUUGUUUCUCUAUGACAACUCACGAUUGAAGCUUGCAUGAUAUCACACGCUAGAUGGUAGCAGUCGCCGAAGACAAUAUCAGCUGCCCCAUAUGACCGUCCUUCUUUGUUCAUCAUCGAAAUCAUCUCAGCAAUCCCCUAAAAAAGGGAAAUCACCUCAGCUACAUCAGAAGUUUAUAAUCAAUAUGUUGCACCCAACUGAUUGGGCAAGGAACAUGUCGAAGAGGCAGGCACUGAAUUCAGUCGAUACGACAUCGGGGCACCAUGAAUUUUCUUAUCAUUGGCGACAAUCAUGUCUCCCUUACCAUGUCUGAGAAUAUUCAACUAAAAAACAUUACAUAUGAGAAUAUAACCAACCGACGCAUGUGAGAUCGUUAUCGAAGGCAACAUCCACAAUUAACUUUACAAUACCUAAUGUUGGCUUGAUCCAGCCACAUCUUUUUGCCUUGGCCUUCGGGGAUGACUCGGUUGUGAAAUUCGCCAUUAGAGCUCACAGAGAAGAAACUGUCCUGCUGGACGCGACACGCCAGCUACGGCGACGGAGCGGGCAUCUACUGGAUUCAUACCCGGAGUGGCAGUGAAGGUGCCCGAUUGAUGGAUCCGCGUCCGGGUGGCUCCAAAGGGGGAGAUCGGGUCUCGACCCAGGACCGAAGAAGCACGACCCGUGCGGCUAUCUCCUCCUCGUCUGACAGGCGGCGAGCUCCUAAUCAAUGUUGUCGUCGGAUCUAGACCGUUCAGACUUAUAUAUGCUGCUCACCAUGCCAAAGGUGGCUAGAGAUGACUGGGGCAGAAUGAAGUGGACUAGUUGAAAUGGCUAGGGUUUCAUCUGGGGUGGGGAUAGAGAUGGGUUUUGUGGGGUCAAGGGUGGGCCGACCCGAUGUGGAGGACGCAUCCGGAUGGCCUCAAAUCCGCCUCACAUAUGGGCUGAAAAUGAUGCUGCCGAACAGGCCAGACAUAUGAGCUAGGUUUGGGUCCGUUUUGAUGACAAUUUCUUGUCCAAAUUGCAUACGGGCUGUCCGCCCAGAUCUAUGGAAAAGGUAGGGGGUCCGGCUGAAGAUGCUCUAACAUUGGUCUGCACUCAUGACUAUAACUUAUUUUAUGGUUGUUGUAUCUAGUUAGUGUGAGAAAUUUAUUCAAUUCAGUAAAACUCUAUGGUCACAUCUAAUAAGGAACUCAUCCAACUAUCUGCAACAAUCGAAACAAAUCAGUGAUGUUACACCGAUUUCAUUAAAAUUUUAGAUUGUUUUCAGGUCAAAACUUUUCAAGUUUGACCUACUAUGUUCAGGAAAUGUUAUGCUAUACAACAACAAAUACAUAUAUAUUAUGUGCAAAUAUAAAGAUUCUAAUAAAACUAAUUUAAUGUUUGGAGAUGGUUAUAUAUUCUUCUUUGAAGUUGGUCAAAUUUAAAUACAUAUGCUCUAAAACACCCAGUAACCGAAGGUGAAGAAAAAAAACUAAAAAAAGAAA